CCUACGGGCGGCAGCAGUGGGGAAUAUUGCACAAUGGGGGAAACCCUGAUGCAGCAACGCCGCGUGGAUGAAGAAGGGUUUCGGCGCGUAAACUCCUAUCGGCAGGGACGAAAAUGACGGUACCUGCCGAAUAAGCACCCGCUAACUACGUGCCAGCAGCCGCGGUAAUACGGAGGGGGCAAGCGUUAUUCGGAUUCACUGGUGGUAAAGGGGGCGGAGGCGGAAAUGCAAGACAGAAGUGAAAGCCCUGGGCCUAACCCCAGGACUGCUUUUGAAACUGUAUGGCUAGAGUACAGGAGAGGCAGGCGGAAUUCCUAGUGUAGCGGUGAAAUGCGUAGAUAUUAGGAGGAACACCCGUGGCGAAGGCGGCCUGCUGGACUGUAACUGACGCUGAGGCCCGAAAGCGUGGGGAGCAAACAGGAUUAGAUACCCUUGUAGUC
rnacentral:rRNA from 1 species